CGAUGUCGGCUCAUCACAUCCUGGGGCUGAAGUAGGUCCCAAGGGUAUGGCUGUUCGCCAUUUAAAGUGGUACGCGAGCUGGGUUUAGAACGUCGUGAGACAGUUCGGUCCCUAUCUGCCGUGGGCGUUGGAAGAUUGAAAGGGGCUGCUCCUAGUACGAGAGGACCGGAGUGGACGCACCGCUGGUGUUCGGGUUGUCAUGCCAAUGGCACUGCCCGGUAGCUAAGUGCGGAAGAGAUAACCGCUGAAAGCAUCUAAGCGGGAAACUUGCCUUGAGAUGAGUCUUCCCUGACUCUUUAAGGGUCCUAAAGGAACGUUUAAGACGAAGACGUUGAUAGGCUGGGUGUGUAAGCGUAGCGAUACGUUGAGCUAACCAGUACUAAUGAACCGUGAGGCUUAACCUGACAACACCGAAGGUGUUUUAG
rnacentral:rRNA from 1 species